UACGGAGGGUGCAAGCGUUGCUCGGAAUCACUGGGCGUAAAGGGCGUGUAGGCGGUUUCGUAUGUCUGGCGUGAAAGCCCCGGGCUCAACCCGGGAAGUGCGUUGGAAACUGCGAAACUAGAGUCUCGGAGAGGAAGGUGGAAUUCCAGGUGUAGCGGUGAAAUGCGUAGAUAUCUGGAAGAACACCGGUGGCGAAGGCGGCCUUCUGGACGAUGACUGACGCUGAGACGCGAAAGCGUGGGGAGCAAACAGGAUUAGAUACCCUGGUAGUCCACGCCAUAAACGAUGGGAACUAGGUGUCGCGGGUAUUGACCCCUGCGGUGCCGCAGCUAACGCAUUAAGUUCCCCGCCUGGGGACUACGGCCGCAAGGUUAAA
rnacentral:rRNA from 1 species